CGGGAGCGGACGGUGUAGAUGGUGUGGAUGAACCACUCCCGACCUGCAGCCACCUGGAACAUCCAGACACAGUGGAGCUUGAGUUUACAGCUGACCUGGAAGAGAGGCGAGGAGGACAGGGCGAAUCCGUCUGAACCAGGCUGUCUGACCAGAGGCAGGCCUCCAGGAGUGUCCAGGGCCAGAGUGGCACCAAACAACACAUCUCCAAACGCUGUGGCCUGGGUCUCUGGCUGAGCCUUGUCCUGAGGAGGAAAACACACACCGCAGAGACGGGGUCACUCUUCCUGGAGCGGACGGUCACUGUGGCCGUCUUGGAGAGGAAGAGACCUGUCACCCCACUCAUCCCUUCAUCAUCCUCCCCUCAUCGAGGCCAGACAGUGUCGUCUGAACUCAGUGCCAGAGGUCUACAGUGCACACCUGAAAAGCCAGAGCGUUCUUGAAGUUGUAAACAAACCAUCACCCCCAUCUCAGAUCACAGCUACACAACUAAAACAGAAAUGGAGGCUGAAAACCAUCAAACAGGAGCCAGAGGAAAAACAUGCCUGUCAUUUGACAUUCCUCUCCCACAAAUCCCUGUUUCCCCACCUGCCUCUUGGCCCCUGCAACACAAAGGGAAGCCCUCUGUUUUCCCCCAGAUCCACUGAGUGGUGGAGCUGGAGGAGUGUCUCAGAACAAAACACGUUCAGAGAGCUCUUUUAUGUGUCAUGACAGAGGGUUGUCCAGUGUAGUUAAGACUGGAGUUUCUAUUCUAUUCUAUUUUCUCUCUUCCCAGUUCUACCACCUGUUACUAGAAGUAUAGGAUAGAACAGAUGGAGUGUGUAGUCAGGGGUAGAGCGAGAGGAGGGAGCAGGGAGGAGGGGAAAGACCCGGCAAAGAGAGGGGAGUCAAGACAAACAUGUGGGGAGAGGUGCUUUUGUCUUGGGUUGAGUGUGUUUGUGUGCCACUGUCUGUCUGUCUGUGGCUUUGCGGAAUGGUACCAUCCAUGAGUGGACCU